AUGUUGUAACUUUUGAUAACAUGAGUAACCAUCUAACCCAAAUCACCAUCACUAACAGAGAGGCUGCUUCCCAUUACUUUUAUUUAUGUAAAAUAUUAUUUAAUAAUAUUUAAUAAACGACAACAGCCAUUAAAAAGUUGUUAAGCAAUUAAAUCAAGAGUACAAAGGCACCACAGUGAAAGCAUUAAAGUUAUAUAAAAAUGUAAAGUUAUGAAACUUUGCCCUCAGCCAAAACUGUUUGCUCUGAAACAAAUAGUAGUGAUAGCCGCCGACAUGUGUCAAGUUUGAUUAAUUACUUUGACCUUUGUGACCUCAUAAUAAUAUUAAUGAUAACCAUAUGUGACCUUUGAUCUCAUAAUGAGUUUCAGAUGCGGAAAUCAGAGAAGCGUGAAAUUCCGGCGUCAUCCGGGCUGAGCUAUGAUGUUUGUAGGUGUCCAUCGGUGGAAAAACCAUAAAUGAGCUGUAAAGUAAUGUUUUUGAAGAUUUUAUGGUCCGUUUUGAAACUUUCUCAUGGGAACAUCUGUGUGGUGAGCGAGCGCCCCUCCCAUCUACGGCGCACAAAUCAGGUUGCGUUCUGAGGCGCGCGCGCGCUCUCUUUCCCCCUCUCUCUCUCUCUCUCUCUCUCUCUCUCUGUGGGAGAUGUAUGAAAAAGAUAUUGUAUUUAAGGACAAAAUCAGAAUAAAUAAGCAAUUUUUUUUAACAGAACCGUUUUAAGACACGCAUAUAUUCUGUUGGUUGUAUAAAAAUAAUUGACCAUUCUUCGAAUGUGAGGUUUACAAAAUUUGUAUUUAGUUUAAGCUGGAAAAGGUGCUCUCACCCUCCGCAAGCGCGAGCAUGCUCGUGUGUGUGUUUGUGUGUGAGCGUGUUUGUUUGUUUGUGUGUGACGUGCUCCCGUCAUUUCUGGCCGUUGUGGGAGAGAGAAAGCUUUGCAAACAUUCUAAUUAUUUGUAUACUUUAAUGUUUAAAUGUUUCCCUAAUAAGUAUUUAUAUUUUAACUUAUUUUGCAUCAAACGAUUGUUUAAUAGUUUGUAUUUUAUUCAUCCUCUUCACAAUUGAAUGUUUUUAAACUAAAAAUAGUAACAUUUCGAUAGCUUUACAACGACGCAAUGGCUCCGUUGGCUAAGACGCUGUGACGCAGUUAGAUGCUCGUUUUGAUAACGUAUCUAAUCUCGGACGGAUUCAAAACUUUUUUAAUUAUCUACAUCUAAUCAACCUUUAUUCUACGAAUUUAAUGUUGGUUAUGUUUAUUUCACAAUGUUUUGCUUAUUUCAUACCCUUUCAGAAAUUCAGUUUCGCCUAACUGGAUCGGCAUUGUUGGUCUGUUUAUACAGAUGCAACCGUAAUUUUAUGGUUUGUUUUAAGAAGUUUGUUUAAAUAACAGUUCUAGGCGUCUGUUUCGGUUCUAUCCGUAACGAAAUAAAUAUUUCUAAUUAGACACGGCCAUCCUGAUUUUCACAGACUUAGGGUUCUGUUUAUGUAAACAGAAUACUAUGUUUUUCACAUGUGCUAGUAAUUAGUCAUGGUGAUAAUUUCAGACGCCCCAUCGAUUUAGUAGUUGUGUUUAGACCCUGGGAGAACACUUUUUAUCCGAUGAAUCAAAACAAAUAACAGCGCGACAUAUGCGUGACUGUUUUCUUUCUCGGAACAAAGCCGUUUGUCACUGUAUAUCACUCUAGCAGAUGUUUUGUAAUGAGUUAUAAUGUGGUGUUUGAGUGCUCCCUGCUGGUUAUUGAUGAAACUACAACCUCACGAUAAAUGUUUGUUUAAACUGUUGAAAAACAAAAAAAUAUUUAAAAAAAAUAAAAAAUAAAAAAUUGUUAGCUAAUUUCUUUACCUUUAAUACAUUAUUUUACCUUAAAAUAUAAUAUACUGUUAUUUAAACGAUACCAUUAGAAGUCGAAGGCGGACCGCCAAGGUGUUGUAAACGCCCACCCCUGCGAGUGAUUUAAGAGCGAGCGUGUUGCGGGGCCGUCCCACUUCCUUUUCGCGAUUUGGAGAAAGAUAGCGGUUUUUCUUACUAUCAUCAUAGAACAUAACGGUGAGUAAUUCCCUUUAAAAGCUUAGAAUGAAAUAUAUGAUUAGAACUUGUUUAUUCUCAACCUUAUCUCAAUUGAUAUAAACUAUCUUUAACAGUUUUCCUAUUAUAGGGGAAUCAAAUGGGGAACAAAGUGUUUUUAGCCAGAUUGAUGUCUUUUUUUAGUCUUUUUUUCCUGAUUUUUUUAUAUAAGCUGAAUGUUUUUAAAUAUUUUACACCAGAAAACAUUUUAUUUUGUAGUUUCUGCACAUCUGAUCGAUCAACAACACCAAAACGCGGCUGAACUGAUCGGUGAACAUCAACAACUCCAAAACGAGUUUAUUGAUCUCACUCAGGAAAUCGACGAAUGUGAAGAUCAGGCCAGACCGUGUGGCUCUAACAACAAGAAC